CGGCCGCGGUACCCUGACCGUGCUAAGGUAGCAUAAUCCCUUGCCUCUUAAUUAGUGGCUAGUAUGAAUGGAUAGACGAGAAUUAAGCUGUCUCUACAAGUUAUCUAAAAAUUACCCUUCAAGUGAAGAGUCUUGAAUCCCUAUAAAAGACAAGAAGACCCUGUAGAGCCUAAAUUAUUGUUAAAUCCCAAAAUAAAAUUAAAAUACUCCUUUAACAUUAUUUUAGUUGGGGCGACUAAGGAACACCAAUAGCUUCCUUUACCAAAUAGGCUUAUCCGCCAUAUUAACGAUCCAUUAUAUAUGAUCAAAAAACCAGGCUACCUCAGGGAUAACAGUCUAAUCUUCCUCGAGAGCUCAUAUUGACAGGAAGGAUUGGCACCUCGAUGUUGGCUUAGGGGCACUCUCAGGCGCAGCCGCCUGAGCAGUAGGUUUGUUCAACCUUUAAAACCCUACGUGAUC
rnacentral:rRNA from 1 species